CUUUCGGAGCUGUGAGGCGACUG
rnacentral:piRNA from 1 species